rnacentral:rRNA from 1 species
CGAACGCUGGCGGCGUGCUUAACACAUGCAAGUCGAACGCGAAAGGGACUUCGGUCCUGAGUAAAGUGGCGCACGGGUGAGUAACACGUAGAUAACCUGUCUUCAUGUCUGGAAUAAUACGCCGAAAGGGGUACUAAUACCGGAUAUUCUUGCUUUUCAUAAGUUAUGCAAGCAAAGGUGGCCUCUGCAUAUGCUACUGCAUGAAGAGGGGUCUGCGUACCAUUAGCUAGUAGGUGGGGUAAUGGCCUACCUAGGCGACGAUGGUUAGCGGGUCUGAGAGGAUGAUCCGCCACACUGGCACUGGAACACGGGCCAGACUCCUACGGGAGGCAGCAGUGAGGAAUAUUGCGCAAUGGGGAAACCCUGACGCAGCGACGCCGCGUGAGUGAGGAAGGCCUUCGGGUCGUAAAGCUCUGUCAAGAGGAAAGAGGUGUACAACGGCUAAUACCUGUUGUAUUUGACGGUACCUCUAAAGGAAGCACCGGCUAACUCCGUGCCAGCCGCAGC